rnacentral:rRNA from 1 species
CCCUUAGAUGUUCUGGGCCGCACGCGCGCUACACUGAUGCAUUCAACGAGUCUAAAACCUGCUCUGAUAGGGGUGGGUAAUCUUUUGAAUGUGCAUCGUGAUUGAGAUAGAUGAUUGCAAUUUUUCAUCUUCAACGAGGAAUGCCUAGUAAACGCAAGUCAUCAGCUUGCAUUGAUUACGUCCCUGCCCUUUGUACACACCGCCCGUCGCUCCUACCGAUUGAAUGAUCCGAUGAAUAUCAUGGAUUGAGGAUGUAAGCAGGUUCGCCUGUCUUCAUCUUCGAGAAGUGAAGUAAAUCUUAUCAUUUAGAGGAAGGAGAAGUCGUAACA